UUUGUGGGGAAUGUUGGCUGGCUCGAUGCAUUCACUUACCGGAGACAAAAAUGAGUCUUAUCUCUAAAUUUCUUCAGGAAAUGUGACGGCAUCGGACCAGGCUUCAUUCCUCUCAAA
rnacentral:pre_miRNA from 2 species